rnacentral:rRNA from 1 species
CGGUAGGGGGCGAGCGUUUGUCCGGAAUCAUUGGGCGUAAAAGAGCGUGUAGGCGGCCCGGUAAGUCCGCUGUGAAAGUCCAGGGCUCAACCCUGGAAGGCCGGUGGAUACUGUCGGGCUCGAGUCCGGAAGAGGUGAGUGGAAUUCCUGGUGUAGCGGUGAAAAUGCGCAGAUAUCAGGAGGAACACCAAUGGCGAAGGCAGCUCACUGGGACGGUACUGACGCUGAGACGCGAAAGCGUGGGGAGCAAACAGGAUUAGAUACCCUGGUAGUCCACGCCGUAAACGAUGGUCACUAGGUGUGGGGGGUGUCGACUCCCUCCGUGCCGGAGCUAACGCAUUAAGUGACCCGCCUGGGGAGUACGGCCGCAAGGCUA